UAGGAGUUUUUUAAGUUUUCACUUUGCUGACAUAUGUAUCCAGCUAGCAAGCCUUGACAUAUACUAAAAAGAAACAUGCUUUUUUGUUAACUUUUUUCUCCUUUUUAGUGGUUUUAUUUGUCUCUCUUAUCUACCUCCCAGUCCUAUCUCUACUUGCCAGCCAGCUAAAAAAACUUUGGAAAAUGACUAGGUUUUGAUUGCCUUGAAAAUUUACGAAAAGAAAAAAAAAAUCAAGUAAUCAAUUGGGAUAAAUCCUACCCACACAAGUCUCUUUCAUUUCUGCAAUGUCCCUUCUCUUCCAUAAUUGGGCUAAUCACUUUUCUAUUUAUUCAGAUCUAACACUCUUAACACCAAUUAGAAUCCAAUGCUAGAAUUGGGAAACCAAAAAAAAAGAUUCUGGGUCUCGCGAUAAAUGGUGAUUUUGGUAUGGGUUUUGUCCUUUUCUGAUUAUCAGUUUCCAGUUUUGGCCUACAUGGAUUAAAAAUUAAAUAUUUGGAGUAUUUUUUAAACAUAUUGGGUUUUGCAAGAUUCUGUACCCCAUUGAUUCUUUUGUUUUUGUUUCGAUGAAUACGAAUGAUUAAUGAAUCUUGGGUCUACCACAUAAUUUCUUGGAAAGUCAAGAAUCUGGUUUGGGUGUUGUGAGUUGUGAGUGAGUGAGGGAAAAAUAUAAUGGAUGAUUUUGGGAAUGGUGUAAGUGGAUGGAGUUGGGAAGAGAACAAAUUGUUUGAGUUGGCUUUAGCAGUGGUUGACGAGGAAGACCCUGAUCGGUGGGAGACGGUGGCAGCCAUGGUUGGGGGAAAGAAGAGCGCACUAGAUGUUCUGAAACAUUAUGUGAUCCUCUUGGAGGACUUGAAAUUCAUUGAAUCUGGCAAACUUGAUCACAAACUUGGAGACACUCAGACCUGCUUCCAAGUUGAGUGACCAACAAUAUCACAACUUCCUGGUUCAAUUGGACAUAAAAGACUAGUCAUUGAAGCACUUUGAUUUUCAGUCAAGCUAGCUCAUAACUGCUCCGAGGACACAGAAGCAACAAAGCUGCAGGUUUUCUAAGUGAAAGUAUGUUGAUUUAUGUGCUUUUUAUUGUGUGUAAGGUGUGAUCAAUGCCUUGUUUGUAAAAACACAAGUUGUCAGCCAAAUGAUUCAGAAGGGAAAAAAAAAAAAUUGACAUUUCAAACUAUAUAUACAUGUGCAAGUUUGGGAGUUUCUGUUAUUGAACUCUGAUUAAUAAUAAUAAUAAUAUAUUGAGAAGCAAUGGCAGGUAGCUAUUAGCUUUAUUCUGGCA